AGCCCACCGCUGUAGCAGCAGCAGAUCAGAGCUGAGCUGCAGAGAAACUGAGAAAUAGUGAUUUACAGAAUCAGCGCAGGAGGAGCAGAGCGAGCACUUCCACAGCGCCGUGGCGCUGAUCCCGAGUUUAUGUUGGAGAAUAAUGAGCGCACCUGAAGUUUAGACUUCAUUUCAUCGAUUUCGGCGAUCUUACAUUUGAAUGUUGACCAUGAACACAGAAGAUCAAUAUGACGGGGCCUUCCGCCCGAAGACUGCUGGGAUAGGCUCCAGCACCCCCCCGCGACCCUGACGGAGAAGCGGCUUAGAAAAUGGGUGGAUGGAUGGAUGGAUGGAUGUCUUUUUAAGGACCUGAAAAAGACGACUUUCACCUUUCACUUUCAACCAAAUCUCAACGUUGUUGAGACGUCUGUCUUUGACUUUUCAACAAGUUUUUGUUGGUGGCUGCAUCCAGAAACUUUUGCUACAACUCCUCCUCCUCACUUUCUAUUGCUCCUCUCCUGUCCUCCUGUCUCCUGGGGAGGAGCAGAAGGAAAGAAUCAGCAGUAAAAUGGGACAGCGAUCUGGUCCAAUGUCAGCAGAUUUAACAGAGAGUCUACAUUCAUGAAUCUUCCUCUGGAAGCUGCUUUGAUAAAGAUCUUUUAUUGGAUGGAUCUUUAUGGGGUAAAGAACCUUUUUGAAGUUUGAAGAACCUCAGUAUAGUGAAAGGUAUGGAAUCGGAAUAGAACCUUAACAUUAUGUGAAGAUUUUUAAAACCUUCAGACCUAAAGAGCUUGAUUACGUGACUUAGUGUUGGUGUGCUGUGAGAGGUUUAUGGCAGGAGUUACACUGUAGAGGGUCAAAACCUGGCAUGAACUUAUCUGAAAGGGGCCUGGUGUUCAUUCCAAACAAACGAAGACCUGAUUCCACAUGUUUAAUCACUUUCUUGGAAAGCAAGCCCACAGUCACUCCAGCCCUUUUCAAAUGAGAUUGAACACCCCUACUUGUGAGAUGUGGUUCAAUACAUUUGAUCCAACAACCACAAGGUUUUUUGGUGUUUUAUGAAUCAGUCGAUCAUUUUCUUCCCUCUUUUUCAUUUCUGGCUCAGCACUCUGUUAUAAUCACAACCUGUAUUCACUAUGCUGUCUGUUUUCAGCAGGACAGUAGAAGACAUCUUUCCCACUCACUGAACUCACUGAAGCAUCCUUGCUGGUCCACAUUCAAACAGAGUGUUGUUUUGGAGAAAGUUCUUUACUGUGGACCAUUUGAGGGAAACGCAUUGUGGAUGUUUGUUUUAGCGCCACCCCAGAGGUGCCUCAGUGUGUUCUGUGUAUGUAGAAAAGACAUGAAGCUGAAAAUAGAUGCCAUAUUGCACAUAUUUGGUCUGAAUGCACUAAUAUGACUUCAUGUACCAGAUGGUUUAAUUAACGUA